CCUCAGAAUGUCCAUUCUGUGCAUCUUUCCAUCCUAUUCCAUGACUGCCUGGAAAUAUAUAGAUGUGUGAUACAUCGGUCAUGAAAUGUAGUAAGAGCUUUCUUGAAAGUUAAUGCACGUUGGAUGAGCAACAGUGUCCCACAUCCCUCUUGGAGAGAUGCAUUCACGAGUUCUGCUACGAAUCUGCUGUCUUGCACUGGAACUGUGUGCAUUCAGGGAUGUUUGACUAGAGAAUGGCCAAAGGCUAAUAUACCUUAUUAGAAAAACAGCUCAUCUCACAAAGCCUAGGCAUGGCUACCUUGUUGUAUUCUCCUUUGGACAAUCACUCAGGGGAUUAUCUGCCUUUAGAGCAUACACAAACUGUGCUAUUGGCGAUGACUGGGAACCACAGUGGUUGAUGAAAUGGAGUUGAAACAAUGUGGAGAUGGCCUCUGAGGUCCCCAGAUACAUAAUUCCUUUUAGGUUUGAACUUACCUCUAUGUGGUUACUGUUUUGUUUUUUUUUUUAACCUGGGAUAUAUGUCAGUGACUCACAGACCACAGUUCAUAGUCUGCAAAUACUAUACGGAGCUCUACCGAUCCACUGGGGUUCUUGGUGAAAGUUUAUGAAGAAUGCACAGUCAUGUGUGGAAAAAAUAGAAUGUGUGUGAAACUUACAGGCAGUUCUAUCUCGUAAGCUCCUGGAGAUACUGUUGGCUUUGUUGGGCAGCACCAUACAGAAUUUUUUCUAGCAUACUGGAGAGAAUUGCACAUCUGCUCCCUACUCCGUAGAGGCCAAUAUGGGACUUGAUAGCAGAGGAAUCUCUGUGGAAAUUUUUCAGGUAUUGACAGAAGAAGGAAACCAUUUCCAUCUAAAACUCCUAUUAAAAGCAAGAGGCACUAAAUUCUGCACAUGCUUUUCAUGCUGGCAUAUUAAUGUGUUUUCUGGCCAGUGGCAGUUCUUAGUCUCAGUAGAAGCUCAUAAUUGGAGUUUGCUAUGCUUUUUCUUGGGUGCAAUAAAUUUUUUUGUUUUGGCAAUGUUAUUUCCUCUUUUGCAAGUGGUGAUUUCAUUUUCUC
rnacentral:lncRNA from 1 species